rnacentral:rRNA from 1 species
UUAAGCGACUAAGCGUACACGGUGGAUGCCCUGGCAGUCAGAGGCGAUGAAGGACGUGCUAAUCUGCGAAAAGCGUCGGUAAGGUGAUAUGAACCGUUAUAACCGGCGAUGUCCGAAUGGGGAAACCCAGUGCAAUUCGUUGCACUAUCGUUAACUGAAUACAUAGGUUAACGAGGCGAACCGGGGGAACUGAAACAUCUAAGUACCCCGAGGAAAAGAAAUCAACCGAGAUUCCCCCAGUAGCGGCGAGCGAACGGGGAGCAGCCCAGAGUCUGAAUCAGCUUGUGUGUUAGUGGAACGGUCUGGAAAGUCCGACGGUACAGGGUGAUAGUCCCGUACACCAAAAUGCACAGGUUGUGAACUCGAAGAGUAGGGCGGGACACGUGGUAUCCUGUCUGAAUAUGGGGGGACCAUCCUCCAAGGCUAAAUACUCCUGACUGACCGAUAGUGAACCAGUACCGUGAGGGAAAGGCGAAAAGAACCCCGGCGAGGGGAGUGAAAAAGAACCUGAAACCGUGUACGUACAAGCAGUGGGAGCACCUUCGGGUGUGACUGCGUACCUUUUGUAUAAUGGGUCAGCGACUUAUAUUCUGUAGCAAGGUUAACCGUAUAGGGGAGCCGCAGGGAAACCGAGUCUUAACUGGGCGUUAAGUUGCAGGGUAUAGACCCGAAACCCGGUGAUCUAGCCAUGGGCAGGUUGAAGGUUGGGUAACACUAACUGGAGGACCGAACCGACUAAUGUUGAAAAAUUAGCGGAUGACUUGUGGCUGGGGGUGAAAGGCCAAUCAAACCGGGAGAUAGCUGGUUCUCCCCGAAAGCUAUUUAGGUAGCGCCUCGUGAACUCAUCUUCGGGGGUAGAGCACUGUUUCGGCUAGGGGGUCAUCCCGACUUACCAACCCGAUGCAAACUACGAAUACCGAAGAAUGUUAUCACGGGAGACACACGGCGGGUGCUAACGUCCGUCGUGAAGAGGGAAACAACCCAGACCGCCAGCUAAGGUCCCAAAGUCAUGGUUAAGUGGGAAACGAUGUGGGAAGGCACAGACAGCCAGGAUGUUGGCUUAGAAGCAGCCAUCAUUUAAAGAAAGCGUAAUAGCUCACUGGUCGAGUCGGCCUGCGCGGAAGAUGUAACGGGGCUAAACCAUGCACCGAAGCUGCGGCAGCGACACUAUGUGUUGUUGGGUAGGGGAGCGUUCUGUAAGCCUGCGAAGGUGUGCUGUGAGGCAUGCUGGAGGUAUCAGAAGUGCGAAUGCUGACAUAAGUAACGAUAAAGCGGGUGAAAAGCCCGCUCGCCGGAAGACCAAGGGUUCCUGUCCAACGUUAAUCGGGGCAGGGUGAGUCGACCCCUAAGGCGAGGCCGAAAGGCGUAGUCGAUGGGAAACAGGUUAAUAUUCCUGUACUUGGUGUUACUGCGAAGGGGGGACGGAGAAGGCUAUGUUAGCCGGGCGACGGUUGUCCCGGUUUAAGCAUGUAGGCUGGUUAUCCAGGCAAAUCCGGAUAAUCAAGGCUGAGGUGUGAUGACGAGGCACUACGGUGCUGAAGUAACAAAUGCCCUGCUUCCAGGAAAAGCCUCUAAGCAUCAGGUAACAUCAAAUCGUACCCCAAACCGACACAGGUGGUCAGGUAGAGAAUACCAAGGCGCUUGAGAGAACUCGGGUGAAGGAACUAGGCAAAAUGGUGCCGUAACUUCGGGAGAAGGCACGCUGGUGUGUAGGUGAAGUCCCUGCGGAUGGAGCUGAGACCAGUCGAAGAUACCAGCUGGCUGCAACUGUUUAUUAAAAACACAGCACUGUGCAAACACGAAAGUGGACGUAUACGGUGUGACGCCUGCCCGGUGCCGGAAGGUUAAUUGAUGGGGUUAUCCGUAAGGAGAAGCUCUUGAUCGAAGCCCCGGUAAACGGCGGCCGUAACUAUAACGGUCCUAAGGUAGCGAAAUUCCUUGUCGGGUAAGUUCCGACCUGCACGAAUGGCGUAAUGAUGGCCAGGCUGUCUCCACCCGAGACUCAGUGAAAUUGAACUCGCUGUGAAGAUGCAGUGUACCCGCGGCAAGACGGAAAGACCCCGUGAACCUUUACUAUAGCUUGACACUGAACAUUGAGCCUUGAUGUGUAGGAUAGGUGGGAGGCUUUGAAGCGUGGACGCCAGUCUGCGUGGAGCCAACCUUGAAAUACCACCCUUUAAUGUUUGAUGUUCUAACGUUGGCCCCUGACCGGGGUUGCGGACAGUGUCUGGUGGGUAGUUUGACUGGGGCGGUCUCCUCCCAAAGCGUAACGGAGGAGCACGAAGGUUAGCUAAUCCUGGUCGGACAUCAGGAGGUUAGUGCAAUGGCAUAAGCUAGCUUGACUGCGAGCGUGACGGCGCGAGCAGGUGCGAAAGCAGGUCAUAGUGAUCCGGUGGUUCUGAAUGGAAGGGCCAUCGCUCAACGGAUAAAAGGUACUCCGGGGAUAACAGGCUGAUACCGCCCAAGAGUUCAUAUCGACGGCGGUGUUUGGCACCUCGAUGUCGGCUCAUCACAUCCUGGGGCUGAAGUAGGUCCCAAGGGUAUGGCUGUUCGCCAUUUAAAGUGGUACGCGAGCUGGGUUUAGAACGUCGUGAGACAGUUCGGUCCCUAUCUGCCGUGGGCGCUGGAGAAUUGAGGGGGGCUGCUCCUAGUACGAGAGGACCGGAGUGGACGCAUCACUGGUGUUCGGGUUGUCAUGCCAAUGGCACUGCCCGGUAGCUAAAUGCGGAAGAGAUAAGUGCUGAAAGCAUCUAAGCACGAAACUUGCCCCGAGAUGAGUUCUCCCU